GACGGAGGGUGCUAGCGUUGUUCGGAAUGACUGGGCGUAAAGGGCGCGUAGGCGGCCGCUUGCGUCGGAUGUGAAAGCCCGGGGCUCAACCCCGGAACGGCAUCCGAUACGGGGCGGCUCGAGACCGAGAGAGGUGAGUGGAAUACCCAGUGUAGAGGUGAAAUGCGUAGAUAUCGGGAGGAACACCAGUGGCGAAGGCGACUACCUGGCCUGUUCUUGACGCUGAGGCGCGAAAGCUAGGGGAGCAAACGGG
rnacentral:rRNA from 1 species